rnacentral:rRNA from 1 species
UACGGAAGGCAGCAGUGGGGAAUAUUGCACAAUGGGCGCAAGCCUGAUGCAGCCAUGCCGCGUGUAUGAAAAGGCCUUCGGGUUGUAAAGUACUUUCAGUCGUGAGGAAGGUGUUAAGGUUAAUAACCUUAGCAAUUGACGUUAGCGACAGAAGAAGCACCGGCUAACUCCGUGCCAGUAGCCGCGGUAAUACGGAGGGUGCGAGCGUUAAUCGGAAUUACUGGGCGUAAAGGGCACGCAGGCGGUUAAUUAAGUUGGAUGUGAAAUCCCCGGGCUUAACCUGGGAAUGGCAUUCAAGACUGGUUAGCUAGAGUCUUGUAGAGGGGGUAGAAUUCCAUGUGUAGCGGUGAAAUGCGUAGAGAUGUGGAGGAAUACCGGUGGCGAAGGCGGCCCCUGGACAAAGACUGACGCUCAUGUGCGAAAGCGUGGGGAGCAAACAGGGAUUAGGAUACC